rnacentral:rRNA from 1 species
GUGCCAGCCGCCGCGGUAAUACCGGCAGCUCAAGUGGUCGUCGCUUUUAUUGGGCCUAAAACGUCCGUAGCCUGUUUGGUAAAUCUGUGGGUAAAUCAACCAGCUUAACUGGUUGAAUUCUGCAGAGACUGCCAGACUAGGGACCGGGAGAGGUGUGGGGUACUCUAGGGGUAGGGGUAAAAUCCUGUCAUCCUUAGAGGACCACCAGUUGCGAAGGCGCCACACUGGAACGGAUCCGACGGUCAGGGACGAAGCCUAGGGGCACGAACCGGAUUAGAUACCCGGGUAGUCCUAGGUGUAAACGCUGUGAACUUGGUGUCGGGGAUCCGUCAUGGGUCCCCGGUGCCGGAGUGAAGAUGUUAAGUUCACUGCCUGGGGAGUACGGUCGCAAGGCUGAAACUUAAAGGAAUUGGCGGGGGAGCACUGCAACGGGAGGAGCGUGCGGUUUAAUUGGAUUCAACGCCGGAAAACUCACCAGGGCCGACUGUUAUACGAAGACCAGUGUGAUGAACUUGUCGGAUUUUCAGAGAGGUGGUGCAUGGCCGUCGUCAGUUCGUACUGUAAAGCGUUCUGUUAAGUCAGAUAACGAACGAGACCCUCAUCUCUAUUUGCUACCUGUCUCUCCGGAGACAGCGCACUAUAGGGAGACCGCUGGUGUUAAACCAGAGGAAGGCGAGGGCAACGACAGGUCAGUAUGCCCCGAAUGUCCUGGGCUACACGCGCGCUACAAAGGACGGGACAAUGGGAAGCCAGGCCGAGAGGCCGAGCUAGCCCGAAACCCGUUCGUAGUUCGGAUUGAGGGCUGUAACUCGCCCUCAUGAAGCUGGAUUCCGUAGUAAUCGUGUUUCAAAAUAGCACGGUGAAUAUGCCCCUGCUCCUUGCACACACCGCCCGUC